rnacentral:tRNA from 1 species
AUAUAUAAAGUAAUUAUUUACAUUUAAUUUCGGCUUAAAGAUUUGAUUUUUGUCAUGUAUAUA